GUGUGGGAAUCAGUGAGUCUAGCACGGGGCUUACCCGGAAUUUCAUCAGCCCUCAGAACCCAGCUUUGUGACCCAUAGGGUAAUCAUGCCACAAACAAUCCAACCAAAAUGAAACCAUCCCAGGCCACUCUGAGCUCAGAAGCCAAAGCAGGAAACAGAGAACUCUACGAAUGUGGAGGCAUCACUCUGUCCUGGGCCCAGCAAACUCAGGAGGCAGCUGCAUCUACAUUUCAAUUAAGCAUUGAGAGAUGCAAGGAACUAUUACUGACUUCUAAAUUUUCCCUUCACCAUAGUCAUUCUGCCUGAACUUCCACAGUUAGACUGAGACAUAAAAUGCUAAUCUACCUGGAAAGCUCUUUCCUGGCUGUCAGUUCCGAGUCCAGCCUCUCCUCGCAUUGCUGCAGACGCUUUCUGAGGAACUCGUUCUCCAUCUGAGCACAGUCGAAGCGCAUUUGCCACUCGUCUGCUGUUUAACGGAGUCAGGGAGACCAGGAUAAAAGACCAAAUGAGUACCCCUGAUCUCCAUAAGUGUCCCUGACAUUUCAAGGGCACAAAUUCUCUGGACACACGGAGGGAAUAAUGCUGACAUUUUAUAGAAGCUGACCCACUGGAUAUCCUUCUCACCCAACUCCAUUAGGCUAGGGAGAGUAAGAGGCAUGGUGACAAGGUGGCAAAGAUGUCACCAUGCCAUCCAAUCACGAGGUCUCCAGGAAACUGUAUAAGAAGGACACCCCCAGAAACUCCUGGCACUACUGAA
rnacentral:antisense_RNA from 1 species